AAUAGAUACCCUGGUAGUCCACGCUGUAAACGUUGGGCGCUAGGUGUGGGGGGCCCCUCCGGUUCUCUGUGCCGCAGCUAACGCAUUAAGCGCCCCGCCUGGGGAGUACGGCCGCAAGGCUAAAACUCAAAGGAAUUGACGGGGGGCCCGCACAAGCGGCGGAGCAUGCGGAUUAAUUCGAUGCAACGCGAAGAACCUUACCUGGGUUUGACAUGGCCGCAAAACCGGCAGAGAUGUCGGGUCCUUCGGGGGCGGUCACAGGUGGUGCAUGGCUGUCGUCAGCUCGUGUCGUGAGAUGUUGGGUUAAGUCCCGCAACGAGCGCAACCCUCGUUCGAUGUUGCCAGCGGUUCGGGCCGGGGACUCAUCGAAGACUGCCGGGGUCAACUCGGAGGAAGGUGGGGAUGACGUCAAGUCAUCAUGCCCCUUAUGUCCAGGGCUUCACGCAUGCUACAAUGGCCGGUACAAUGGGCUGCGAUACCGUGAGGUGGAGCGAAUCCCAAAAAGCCGGUCUCAGUUCGGAUCGGGGUCUGCAACUCGACCCCGU
rnacentral:rRNA from 1 species